GUCAGGAUGGCCGAGCGGUCUAAGGCGCCAGACUCAAGAUCAACUUCUUCCACAAUAUAGGUGUUCUGGUCUCCACAUGGAGGUGUGGGUUCAAAUCCCACUUCUGAGA
rnacentral:tRNA from 1 species